rnacentral:rRNA from 1 species
UACGUAGGGAGCAAGCGUUGUUCGGAUUUACUGGGCGUAAAGGGCGUGCAGGCGGUCUGUUAAGUGCAGGGUGAAAGCUCCCGGCUCAACUGGGAGAGGUCCUUGCAUACUGGCGGAGCUUGAGGGGGGUAGAGGAAAGUGGAAUUCCCGGUGUAGUGGUGAUAUGCGUAGAUAUCGGGAGGAACACCUGUGGCGAAGGCGGCUUUCUGGGCCCUACCUGACGCUGAGACGCGAAAGCGUGGGGAGCGAACCGG